AUUGAACGCUGGCGGCAGGCCUAACACAUGCAAGUCGAGCGGAUGAAGGGAGCUUGCUCCUGGAUUCAGCGGCGGACGGGUGAGUAAUGCCUAGGAAUCUGCCUGGUAGUGGGGGAUAACGUCCGGAAACGGGCGCUAAUACCGCAUACGUCCUGAGGGAGCAAGUGGGGGAUCUUCGGACCUCACGCUAUCAGAUGAGCCUAGGUCGGAUUAGCUAGUUGGUGGGGUAAAGGCCUACCAAGGCGACGAUCCGUAACUGGUCUGAGAGGAUGAUCAGUCACACUGGAACUGAAACACGGUCCAGACUCCUACGGGAGGCAGCAGUGGGGAAUAUUGGACAAAGGGCGAAAGCCUGAUCCAGCCAUGCCGCGUGUGUGAAGAAGGUCUUCGGAUUGUAAAGCACUUUAAGUUGGGAGGAAGGGCAGUAAGUUAAUACCUUGCUGUUUUGACGUUACCAACAGAAUAAGCACCGGCUAACUUCGUG
rnacentral:rRNA from 1 species